GUGCUCUCUUCGGCAGCAUAUAUACUAAAACUGGAAUGAUACAGAGAAGAUUAGCAUGGCCCCUAUCCAAGGAUGACACGAAAAUUCAUGAAGCAUUCCUUAUUUUU
ensembl:snRNA U6 U6 spliceosomal RNA